rnacentral:rRNA from 1 species
UCGGGAAUUUUGGGCAAUGGGCGAAAGCCUGACCCAGCAACGCCGCGUGAAGGAUGAAGUAUUUCGGUAUGUAAACUUCGAAAGAAUAGGAAGAAUAAAUGACGGUACUAUUUAUAAGGUCCGGCUAACUACGUGCCAGCAGCCGCGGUAAUACGUAGGGACCAAGCGUUAGGCGGAAUCACUGGGCUUAAAGGGUGCGUAGGUGGAUGCGCAAGCGUCUUGUGAAAGCCCUCGGCCCAACCGAGGAAUUGCGGGGCGAACUGCGUGUCUUGAGGCAGGUAGAGGUCGUUGGAACGUUAGGUGGAGCGGUGAAAUGCGUUGAUAUCUAACGGAACACCGAAGGGGUAACCAGGCGACUGGACCUGUCCUGACACUGAGGCACGAAAGCGUGGGGAUCAAACAGGAUUAGAUACCCCCGUAGUCCCUGAGCGGGCUGGCAAGGCGCAU